rnacentral:piRNA from 1 species
UGAGAUCAUGUGCUUUGCAGGAAUGUGGGU